AGUGGAUACAAGUUUAAAAUUAAAAAUGCACAAUCCUAUUUGGGAUUUUUGGGGGGGGUUUUGUUUUUUAUAAAUCAUUGAAAACUCUCUCUCCUCUCACGGCCCGCAGCUCACAGCAGCUUCACGGCCCAAAAGGGUGUCCCCCGCCCACACCUUGGGAACCCCUGUUUCCUGCACUAUUGUAUGUUAUUACUGAGCAGUCUUCCCUAAAUAUGUUCCUUUCUUUUAUCCUAUCCCAUCUCGUGUUUCUUGGCAUUUCUGUCCAAUAGCUUUGAAAAUAUUUGUGAGUAACCCAUUAAUCAGCAUUAAUCGCUCCAGCACCACAUGAAAGCUGCACCUGCACAUGCGCCAUGUGUGCAUACCAAUAAAACCUGGCAACAAGUACAAGAUUUGGUCACCUCCAACUUCCACACAUCUGUCUGGAGCAAAGCACAGCCCGACAAAAUGCUGCUCCCAUUCUGGCUGUACAGGCAGCACAGGUGUGUUGUUAUUCCACAGGUGUUACGGUCUUACUGUGGGCGUGGAGACUUGGGAGCAGAAAGCAAGCGUUGGGAAACCGUCCCUGAGGAGCGGACCAAGGUGCUUCAGCUCCAAUGAUUGUAAAUAGAACUAAAAAUGGAAAUAGAAGCUAAAGAGGGGAUGUAAGAAGCGGAAACCGACAGCGCAUGACCUCCAGAUGUAACAACGGCUUAUCCGGGAGGUCUGACCGGGUACACACCUCUUUUCGCCGGAUCUUCUUGGCGAGCUGCGUCGCCGACAUAAGCAGCAGCGGGUUUCUGACGGGCGGGAGCUUCUUCCCUGACAGAGCAGAUCUCCGAGGGCAGAAGAAGCGAAAAAGGACGAAGAGGACCUCCGUGACCGCCUUCAA